UUGGGGAACCUUAUCUUUCGUGGAACUUUCCAACAACUGUCUGGAUCCAGCUGCUCAGUUCCGUUUUUUUGAUAAUAGUGCUAUGUUCAAUUUGAAAAGAAAGGGAUGUUUCGAGGCAACACGUAGGGCUGGUACUGGUUAUAAUCUUCCUAUGUUGUAUUUUCUCCUUGCUAGAAAUCCUUCAGAGAAUUGUCGUGAUCGAGACAAUGCUAUAAUCCAGACCUCUUGGGGAGGUUUAUCUGUAUAUUAUUUACCUGAUAAAAAGACGCGGUGUGCAGUCCUUGGUAA